CUCCNAUAGCUUAAACCAAA
rnacentral:tRNA from 1 species